AUUGAACGCUAGCGGGAUGCUUUACACAUGCAAGUCGAACGAGUGGCGGACGGGUGAGUAAUAUAUCGGAACGUGCCCAGUAGCGGGGGAUAACUACUCGAAAGAGUGGCUAAUAACGAAUACUCUUGGAGCGGCCGAUAUCGGAUUAGCUAGUUGGUGGGGUAAAGGCUCACAAAGGCAACGAUCAGUAGCUGGUUUGAGAGGACGACCAGCCAAACGGGGAUUGAGACACGUCCGAGACUCCUACGGGAUGCAGCAGUGGGGAAUUUUGGACUAUGGGGGAAACCCUGAGCCAGCCAUCCCGCGUGUAUGAGAAGGCCUUCGGGUUGUAAAGUACUUUGGGCAGGGAAGCGGUAUCUGCAGAAUAAGCACCGGCUAACUACGUGCCAGCAGCCGCGGUAAUUC
rnacentral:rRNA from 1 species